rnacentral:rRNA from 1 species
UACGGGGGGGGCAAGCGUUGUCCGGAAUCAUUGGGCGUAAAGAGCGUGUAGGCGGCCCGGUAAGUCCGCUGUGAAAGUCGGGGGCUCAACCCUCGAAAGCCGGUGGAUACUGUCGGGCUAGAGUGCGGAAGAGGCGAGUGGAAUUCCUGGUGUAGCGGUGAAAUGCGCAGAUAUCAGGAGGAACACCGAUUGCGAAGGCAGCUCGCUGGGACGUAACUGACGCUGAGACGCGAAAGCGUGGGGAGCAAACAGG